rnacentral:rRNA from 1 species
UACAGGGGGUGCAAACGUUGCUCGGAAUUAUUGGGCGUAAAGCGCACGUAGGCGGUCUGUUAUGUCGGAUGUGAAAGCCCUUGGCUCAACUGAGGAAGUGCAUCCGAAACUGGCAGGCUAGAGUACGUAAGAGGGUCGCGGAAUUCCCGGUGUAGAGGUGAAAUUCGUAGAUAUCGGGAGGAACACCGGUGGCGAAGGCGGCGACCUGGGACGAUACUGACGCUGAGGUGCGAAAGCGUGGGGAGCGAACAGG